rnacentral:lncRNA from 1 species
GUUCAUGUAUCAAUCGAUGAAUUUCAUUAUGGUCUGAAGCACAUUCCAAGACUCGGGGGAAGCACUUCCACAUUGGAUAAGCACAAACUAAUUCAGCUGAACAAAAAUCAACACUUACCCAUAUUAAGGGCAAUUUUGAUAACCACUAAGAGUGUUCAAACGACAAAGCAAGGAUAAGAAUUCGCAGGCAACAACAAAACCCUGACUUAACACUGAAUAGGAUGGAGUGUGACCUGAGCGCGCCAUGAGUUCUAUCAUUUCUCCCACCGAUCACUUGUUUUGAUUGAGCCGUGCUGCCGUCGCCACUGAGGCCACCACCGAGCCUCGUUCCUCAUCUCAGCACUGCCCACUUCCUCUGUGUCUCGACGUGAUGCCGGUUUAUCUGAUGGCAAUCUAGAAGUUGCAUCCUGCAAGAGAAUUGUGGUCACACAUUGUGUGUACCCUAAUAACACGGCUUGCAACAUAAGCAAACAGAGUCAAUAAGCACUAAGACCAUGCUAGAUGAAUACCUGAGAACAUUAUCAGAAAACCAUCCCUCCCGUACCAAGCAUAAACUCGCGCGUGGGAGGCUACUGAACUGCGGCACCGCUUCAUGCUAAAGAAGGAAGCAUAACCUAGAUAACGAAAAUGCCAGAAUAUUGAGGUUGCCCUGUCGGUCAUACGUGUAGGAGCGCGCGCGAGAGAGUGAGUUAGAUCCAGUGGCUAAUAUAGGAAUAUGACGG